UGGGGAAUAUUGGACAAUGGGGGCAACCCUGAUCCAGCGAUGCCGCGUGUGUGAAGAAGGCCUGCGGGUUGUAAAGCACUUUAGUUGGGGAGGAGAAGGUGCGUAUGAAUAGUGCGCGCUGGAGACGUUACCCAAAGAAUAAGCACCGGCAAACUCUGUGCCAGCAGCCGCGGUAAUACGAAGGGAGCUAGCGUUGUUCGGAAUCACUGGGCGUAAAGCGCACGUAGGUGGGCAGUUAAGUCAGGGGUGAAAGCCCGAGGCUCAACCUCGGAAUUGCCUCUGAUACUGGCUGUCUAGAGUUCGAGAGAGGUGAGUGGAAUUCCUAGUGUAGAGGUGAAAUUCGUAGAUAUUAGGAAGAACACCGGUGGCGAAGGCGGCUCACUGGCUCGAUACUGACACUGAGGUGCGAAAGCGUGGGGAGCAAACAGGAUUAGAUACCCCUGUAGUCCCUGAGCGGGCUGGCAAGGCGCAU
rnacentral:rRNA from 1 species